CAUGCUACUGCACUCCAGCCCAGGCUACAAAUGAGAUAUUGUCUCUUAAAAAAAAAUUAGACAAUAUUUAAUCUUAGGAAGGACGCACAAACACAAGGGGCCCUAGGUCCAAAACCUUAGCCCUUCACACUUUUGAAGUCAAGCACGAGAGGAAGAGGUACCAACAAAUCAUUCUGAGGAGGAACAACCAUUAAGUGGGGGAAGAAUCAGGAAAGUGACCCCUAGAAGCCAAAAGAAUGAUGUGCAUCAAGGAAGAGGAGGUGGCUAAUUAGAAACUGCUAUGACAAGUGGGACAGGACAAAAUGAGCCCGGGUCUGGGAAGUGGGAGGCCAUCAGUGCCCUGACAGCCACAGCUAUGGAAAGGCAGGAGUCAACAGGAGCAGAGGAAAGAAUGUGGAGUUGGGAAGUGGAGACAGCAAGCACAGGUGACACCAGAGAUGCUCAACAUGCUCUGAGGCUGACGGCAACACUCCAGGACUACAGGAGGUUGUGGUGUCAUGGCUUCCAGUGAACCACAUCUUGAGUGGCCCCUUCCACUUGAAUCUAGACUGAGCCUGUAAUUUGCUCUAGCCAAUGGAAGGCAGAGGAACUAACACUGUGUCAGGCCUAACCCUUAACAAGGCCUGGAAGCUCCCUAGUGCUUGUGCGGCACCACAACCUAAGACUUAUGGCUGCCCCAAUGUGGGAAAGGUCCCAUGGACAGACCUCAGACGACACAGAGAGGCGAAGGUCACCUGUCCCUGCAUUCCAGCAACGGGCUACCAACUGACUUGCUAGCUGAAUGCAGCCAUCCAAGUGACCAGCGAUCAACUGCCCAGAAAUGUUCUGUAACACACUGCCCUGGGCUUGUGCUGAUGAUUCCGCGGUGCAACUGUAACAGCAAAAUGAAGACGCAAAGGCACAGAGGCCUUCCCGAGACAGACCCUUCCCGAGGUCGAGUGUGAGACUCAGACAAGCUGAGUUUUGCCUCCAGGAAGGAGGCAAAAAGCUGUACAGCAGACAGCCAUCAAAAAAUAUCUGUGUACACAUAUCCUAAAUCAUCUGACAUUGGAUGAGACUCUUCACUGAGGCUGGUGUUGUGAGGACUGCUCUACCAAGGGUCUCCCCACGGAGGCAGCUGCAGGAGCUGGCUAAGCUAACAAACAACCUCUAUGCUGGAAACUACACUGAGCACUAUAAAACAUUACUGAGAGAACUUAAAGAAAUCAAUGAGUGAAGAGCUACACUCUGCUCACAAACUGGAAGACUGACUACUGUUAGGAUGAGUAGUUGGCCAGGGAGUUACUGCGACGACGCUCUGAUUUCUACUGCAGUGUGAUGGAGAAAGGACGGCGUUCCAGUUUCUUUACGGCGCUGCUUUCGU